rnacentral:rRNA from 1 species
UACCAGCACCCCGAGUGGUCGGGGCGUUUAUUGGGCCUAAAGCAUCCGUAGCCGGUUCUACAAGUCUUCCGUUAAAUCCACCUGCUCAACAGAUGGGCUGCGGAAGAUACUAUGGAGCUAGGAGGCGGGAGAGGCAAGCGGUACUCGAUGGGUAGGGGUAAAAUCCGUUGAUCCAUUGAAGACCACCAGUGGCGAAGGCGGCUUGCCAGAACGCGCUCGACGGUGAGGGAUGAAAGCUGGGGGGAGCGAACCGG